UGACGAGUGGCGAACGGGUGAGUAAUACAUCGGAACGUGCCCGAUCGUGGGGGAUAACGAAGCGAAAGCUUUGCUAAUACCGCAUACGAUCUACGGAUGAAAGCGGGGGAUCUUCGGACCUCGCGCGGACGGAGCGGCCGAUGGCAGAUUAGGUAGUUGGUGGGAUAAAAGCUUACCAAGCCGACGAUCUGUAGCUGGUCUGAGAGGAUGAUCAGCCACACUGGGACUGAGACACGGCCCAGACUCCUACGGGAGGCAGCAGUGGGGAAUUUUGGACAAUGGGCGCAAGCCUGAUCCAGCCAUGCCGCGUGGAGGAUGACACAUUUCGGUGCGUAAACUCCUUUUAUAUAAGAAGAUAAUGACGGUAUUAUAUGAAUAAGCACCGGCUAACUCCGUGCCAGCAGCCGCGGUAAUACGGGGGGUGCAAGCGUUACUCGGAAUCACUGGGCGUAAAGAGCAUGUAGGCGGAUUGAUAAGUUUGAAGUGAAAUCCUAUAGCUUAACUAUAGAACUGCUUUGAAAACUGUUAAUCUAGAAUGUGGGAGAGGUAGAUGGAAUUUCUGGUGUAGGGGUAAAAUCCGUAGA
rnacentral:rRNA from 1 species